GAUUUUAUAGUGAAGCCAAAAGAUUUUCUGUGAUCAAGGAGAAGUUGACAAAAAGUUAUCAGAAUUUCAAGUUUGAUGAGCCAAGAUAUCAUGCCUCAUAUUAUCGCUCUUUAAUAUUAAAUGACCAUUCAUUCCUGAGGAAGAUAUAGAAAUACUUGAGACUCUUCAGCCUGAAGACCUUUCUUGGUUUGCACCUACAAUGCUCUCAAGAGCAUUCUUAGAGUGGAAUAUAGAGCGUGAUGAAGCAGAGUCAAUUGUUCAUCAUGUCGAAGAUGUUUUCUUUAAUGGUUCUCAUCCUAUAUGCAAGCCUGUGCUCCAAUCCAGCUCAUCACAAGUAGACUCGUCACACUUGACGAGGGUGUAAGUUACGUCUACUCAACUGAAGGCCUAAACCCAAAUGAUGAGAAUUCUGCAUUGCUUCACUAUAUUCAGAUCCAUCAAGAUGACAUUACUUUGAACGUACAACUUCAGCUUUUGGCUUUUAUUGCAAGGCAUGAAGCCUUCCACCAGCUCAGAACAGUUGAGCAACUUGGUUAUAUAUGACCUCAGUGUGCAUGGCCUGCAGUUCACUGUUCUGUCUGCUGUGAAGGGUCCAAGGUACAUCGACACACGGGUCCAGAGCUUUCUUGAGUCUUUCGAAAGUAAACUCCUUAA